UCCAUCCGCGACGAGCUCGCCGUACCUCUGGGUGUCUGUCCAGGUCCGACAGCGUGAGGCCGUGCUGCAGAAUCAGCUGACGGGCCUGUGGAGGGACGAGACGAUGGGGGGAAAAAUGUGACUAACGCAGAAACAUCAGGGAGAGUCUCAAACGGACCUGGAAGGACGUGGGCACACACACGAUGUUGAGUUUCUCCUGACGCACUCUCUCCGCUGCAGCCAACGACAAACACAGCUCUGUCCACAGCGUAGACGAUGGUCGACCCGCUGCCGACUCCGACCACCUGGUUGUUCUGCAGGACACGAGGAAAGAGCUUUGAAAAACAACUUCACAUCAGCUCCUCACGUGUCUGAGAGCCACAACCUGUUUGAUUCACGUGUGGAUAUCUUUUGCCGCAAUUUAUGAAGACAACAAACGUCUUCUGACACACUUCACAAGCGACGGUCUCGUGACAUCACUCAUCAGUCGCCUCAUGAUGUCGUCACGUCCACGUCUUCUUCUUUUCUGACAUUUCAUCAGACAACUUUUAGGAUAGAAUCUUUUGAAGAUGGUAGCAUGAUUCCUCUUGUGGAUAUAGUUUUGAUCUGUCCCUUUAUGGUUAUAUCUAUUGUCCAUAUAUAGUUUUGA